rnacentral:rRNA from 1 species
GAUGAACGCUGGCGGCGUGCCUAAUACAUGCAAGUCGAGCGAACGGACGAGAAGCUUGCUUCUCUGAUGUUAGCGGCGGACGGGUGAGUAACACGUGGAUAACCUACCUAUAAGACUGGGAUAACUUCGGGAAACCGGAGCUAAUACCGGAUAAUAUUUUGAACCGCAUGGUUCAAAAGUGAAAGACGGUCUUGCUGUCACUUAUAGAUGGAUCCGCGCUGCAUUAGCUAGUUGGUAAGGCAACGGCUUACCAAGGCAACGAUGCAUAGCCGACCUGAGAGGGUGAUCGGCCACACUGGAACUGAGACACGGUCCAGACUCCUACGGGAGGCAGCAGUAGGGAAUCUUCCGCAAAGGGCGAAAGCCUGACGGAGCAACGCCGCGUGAGUGAUGAAGGUCUUCGGAUCGUAAAACUCUGUUAUUAGGGAAGAACAUAUGUGUAAGUAACUGUGCACAUCUUGACGGUACCUAAUCAGAAAGCCACGGCUAACUACGUG